GCCGAUGUAGCUCAGUGGUAGAGCAACGCUUUCGUAAAGCGUGGGUCAGAGGUUCAAAUCCUCUCAUCGGCUCCA
rnacentral:tRNA from 1 species